rnacentral:rRNA from 1 species
CCUACGGAGGGCAGCAGUGAGGAAUAUUGGUCAAUGGCCGCAGGGCUGAACCAGCCAAGUCGCGUGAGGGAUGACGGUCCUAUGGAUUGUAAACCUCUUUUGUCAGGGCGCAAAGGGCGCCACGUGUGGCGCUUUGCGAGUACCUGAAGAAAAAGCAUCGGCUAACUCCGUGCCAGCAGCCGCGGUAAUCCGGAGGAUGCGAGCGUUAUCCGGAUUUAUUGGGGUUAACGGGUGCGCAGGCGGAAUGUCAAGUCAGCGGUAAAAUUUCGGGGCUCAACCCCGUCGUGCCGUUGAAACUGGCGUUCUUGAGUGAGCGAGAAGUAUGCGGAAGGCGUGGUGGAGCGGUGAAAUGCAUAGAGAUCAUACAGAACACCGAUUGCGAAGGCAGCUUACCAAGCUACUUCUGACGUUGAGGCACGAAAGCGUGGGGAGCAAACAGGAUUAGAUACCCUUGUAGUC